UCUCCCAUAUAUCCUGAGCCAUGUGGAUGACAGGAUCUUGGUGCUCUGGCCAGGUGUUAAGCCUGUGCCUCUGAGGUGGGAGAGCCAAGUUCAGGACAUUGGUCCACCAGAGACCUCCCAGAUCCAGGAAUAUCCUUCCUAUGAUGCUGUAUUGGGCACAUCUUCAAAACUCUGCUCAGGAAUCACUUCAUUCAAGCACCUGUCCAUUGAUAAGCUUGAUACUUACUUAACAUUGAUAAACUUGGUUACUUGUGUUCAAGUUCAUUUAGGUUCGAAUGAAACAGCCACAUUGCUGCCUUUGAAGCCCAGAUUGACUCAGUUUGCUGAGGCCAUGACGAAGUUUAUCUGAUAUCAAGGAUUUGGCAACGGAAGCAUUAAAAGACACUCUAUACUCAUGUGCAGUCAUCUUUGGACGUCUGCUGGAAUGGGCCCACAAAAACUCCAAUUAAAUCAACGAGUAGCCCUCUGAAAGAAGAACUCAUCCUGGAGGGAAAGAGAAUCAGGCAAAUGAGCUUGACCCAAUAAUGAAGCUUCAGGUGUCCGAGGGUCAUGGCAGUUCUGAAUCCCGUAUGGCACCUGUCUCUCAGGUCCAACCCCACACACAAACCGCCGAGUGCUAGAGAGCAGAGGUAUCCUGAGAAAAGCUGGAAGGGCUCUCUUCACUCAGGACUCUGUAAGGCACUGAAGCUUAGUGAUGCCCUAGUGACAGCAUAUGACACAAAAGAGUGGUUGGUGGGGAGUGAUGGCUCCAGUUCUGCAGGGAACAUGAUGGAGCUUGGGUGCCUGCAUGACGGGAGUGCCGUGAUGGCCCAGCUCAGGCUGCAGUCAAGGAAGCGUGCGGGUGGAGGCCGUGUCCCUGGCUUGAGAGAGCAGCACUGGGGUGAUUGGAGUGACCUCGAUGCCUGCAUGGGUGUUGGUGCCCACAGAGAUGCUGGCGCCAGUUGGCGUCAUCAUGUUUAGCAAAGGCUGUGGGGAGACCCUGGGGAGGCAAUUUCAUGCAGCCUUGCUAGCCACGGGCUUUUGCUUAAGGGGACUGGGGCAGGAGAGUAGAAAAUGGCAAAAGCUGUGGUGCAUCUGGUAGGUUCUGUGCCUGAGCAUGUGGGAUUCACUCCUGGGGACUCCCAGCAGCACCAGGAUGGACACCCUCAAUGUGGGUGAGAUGAAACUCUGACUCAGGCUGUCAGAGGGCUCCCAUUACUUUUACCCUGGAUUUCCUUGGACUUCCCACAGUGCCUUCAACUAGGUACAUAUAUGCAAAUUUGAGAAUGUCUCUUUAGGAUAAUCAGAGAAUCAGAGUUUCACUUCUUACCUCAUUU